rnacentral:rRNA from 1 species
ACGAACGCUGGCGGCGUGCCUAAUACAUGCCAGUCGAGCGAAGUUUUUCUGGUGCUUGCACUAGAAAAACUUCGCGGCGAACGGGUGAGUAACACGUAAAGAACCUGCCUCAUAGACUGGGACAACUAUUGGAAACGAUAGCUAAUACCGGAUAACAGUAUUUCUCGCAUGAGAGAUAUUUAAAAGUUGGUUAUGCUAACACUAUGAGAUGGCUUUGCGGCGCAUUAGCUAGUUGGUGGGGUAAAGGCCCACCAAGGCGACGAUGCAUAGCCGACCUGAGAGGGUGAUCGGCCACACUGGGACUGAGACACGGCCCAGACUCCUACGGGAGGCAGCAGUAGGGAAUCUUCCGCAAUGGGCGAAAGCCUGACGGAGCAACGCCGCGUGAGUGAAGAAGGAUUUCGGUUCGUAAAGCUCUGUUGUUAGGGAAGAAUGGAUAUGUAGUAACUAUACAUGUAAGAGACGGUACCUAACCAGAAAGCCACGGCUAACUACGUG